CUCAUGAUUGCAAUAACAAUUCAAGGAGUUUAUGGCGAGUGAGGAGGAUUUUGGCCACUUUAGAGGCUGAAAUGUAGUGGUGGGGCAGGUUGACAGCCUUUGAAGUAAAUGGAAAGGGCAGUGUUGGCCACCUCUGGCCAAAAAUUGCAUUGGCCAACCACUGAUAUCUUCUCUCUCUAUUGUUGUUGGUGACUAUUUUAGUAUUUUAGGGUUUGUUUUUUUCCUGGGAGGCAGUAAGGUUGUAUUUUGUAUAGUUGAAAUGAGUAAAUUACAACACCGGAAUGAAUCGAAUUUUAAUUUUGAUACCAAAAGAUGUAGGAUAAAGAG
rnacentral:lncRNA from 1 species